rnacentral:lncRNA from 1 species
AAAUUCUUGAUCUAAUAACCUCUUUUCUCUGUCCCUUCGGUGAUACCAUCAUAUCUCACUUUUCAGAUGAAGUCGGAGCAGUGAUUCUGAGCUAAGACCCCGGUUCCUGUUCCUUAUUUUUCAAGUCUAUAAGACCGAGCCAUGGAACAUAGCCCAUCUACAAACACUGCAGUGAUGUUGCUGCCAUGGAUAUUUAUGGAAAAUAGAUAUUCGAUGACAAAAGGACACCUAAGCAGCUGCAGUGUGACGAGCUUUAACGGGGCAGCUGCGAACAGGGUGGAGGGCAGGAAUCCCUCCGGGGACUGGAGAAGAGCGACUUCCAGCAGAAGGCAGCAUGAUUGGGCACUGCUGGGACCUGCCUGGCACAGAGCAAUCAGAGCUGGGUGGUUCUUUGAGUGCAAGAGAAGCCAGCAAACAUGAAUCUAAGAGAUAGAAAUGUCAAAAGUUACAAGCGGUGCAAAUAGUCGCUCUAGUUGUGAGCCAAAGGAAAUGUCUUCACUUGAGUAAAUGUAGAAGGAACUUCUGGCAACGGAUACUGAGGCAUAGAUGAAAACAAGUAAAUUAGAACAAACUAGAACAGCAUCGGCAACAGAAAGGCACCUUCAGGUGCACCACUGCUGGACAGAAAGGACCACACACUUAAAUUGGUGUAAUGAGGUUCACUCAAUCUUGCCACCCAAAAUUUACCAUGGAGUUGGGAAGGCAAGACAUACAUUCAUGCUCCUUGGAGGCGGCAAUAUUUGCAAGAAGAUGGCCCUUUGCCUAUUUAUCAAUUUCUACUUUCAGAUAAGUGCCACAUCACGACAGAAUUCUCAUAAAAGGAUGUUCCAUGCAACCAGAAAGAGCCAUGGAUAG